GGAUAAGUUUCAUUCAUACAAACUUUGGAACAAAUCUCGACCUUCGGAAACCUCGGCGAAGGGAAGUCUAUGAGUCGCGCUCGAGCUCGAGCAAAUUAAAGUAGUUUCGCGAGUCAUUAUCCAUAACGGCGAAUGUAUGAGCGAGAAAAUUCUUUUCCUUUUUUUUUUUUUUAAUGCAACUAAUAUUAAUAGUAAUUGGUACGUCAAAAGAAAAUUUAGUUCUUUUGUUUCAUCGUGUGACGUAGGAAAUAUAAAAAUUAUUAUUUUUUUUACGAACAGUUAUAAGAGUUUAAGGCUCGUUCUAAUUCUUCUUCUUCGUAUUUCUCGAUUGAAAUUACUAAGUGAAGUUAAAUCAAUAAUAGAGACAAAAUUAAUUCUAUGUAUAACGAUAAAUUAUCGGAUAAAAUACGUGGAACAUCGAGCGAAACUUUUGAAAAUAUGAAAGGAAAGUUAGAAAGGUAGCAACUCUUCUCGUGGAUUGUUCGCAGCUGUUCCUAAGUGGACUCGGAAGCUUUGGAGUUCAUGGCACACAGAAACAAGUUGAAUCUACGGAAAGGCACGGAGGGAAGGCCAGAAGAGCAAGUUCGUGGUUGGUUAGGGCGGGGUGGCAUGAGGAGGUAGAUGAGAACGAGUCACGGAGGGAGAAGCCACGUACGAGGAAAAAGGAGGGAGAAUAGGUCGAUACGGUAAACUAUUGUCUGGUAGGUGAAGUGUUCACGAGAACCGGGCGGAAGAAAGCUUUGCACCGGUUACGUGCAUUCUCUGUUUCGCACGAAACGUGAAGAUGUGACAUGCUCAUCACCGCAACGAUGUUCAACCGCGUCCAAGAAACCUCCGCACCUCCAUCUACGUCUAUAUAAUCUUUUGCGCCUGUUCUCUCGAUCGAUACCAGUGCACACGACGAAUCUCUUUAUGCAUUAUUACCGACCGAGAGGUGCAAUAAUCAUCAUUCGUUCAUUACUGCUACAAUUUAUUCUAUAAUUCUAUUUUUUCCAGGGUAUUUCGUUUUUAUGGUAUAUUUCAUUUUUAUAUAAACAAUAUCGACAGUAUUUUUUUAUGAAAUUUUGUAAAAAUCGAUACCGUUUCGUCAAUAAUAAAAAUAGUGAAAAUUAUUUUCUAAAAUUAAAAUAUAUAAUUUAUAUAAUUUAAAUAAAAUUAUCUUUCAGGAUGACAUCAAAGAUACGUUUUCAAGGAGGAUUUGACAUUUACUUACUUACUGAAAAGUAAGUAACGCGCGAGAUAUUUUCAUUUCAGGAUUCGUAAUUAAUUUGAACAUUAUUGAACAUUCGUAUUUCAAUUUAAUUUACUGUUUUAAUCUAUUAAAAUUUACUUCUUUUAUUUUUUAAAGAUUGUUAAACGAUAUAUUAAAUUAAGAAUCUACAUAUAAAUUGCUCUUGAUAAAAUUUAAAAAAAUUUUUCUAUCCGUUGCAUUGUAAAAGCGUCAUUAGAUUAGAUCUUUCUUAAUUUAUGAACACUCAAUAAGUACUGUUGCAACAACGCCAUCUACAAUCGAAUCAUUUGGCGGGAGUAUCGAAGAAAUUGCGAUAAUCGUAGGAUAAAAUUCAUCGCGAACGAGUAACGAAUCGAAGUGGAAUUAGGUUGUACAAUACUAAAUUUUCGUGAAGCCCAAAUACGAAUUUUCGAGAAUUUCGUCUCUGAAUGCAGAUUUAUGCUAGUACAUUACGUACACAAAGAUAGUUUGGUAUGCGGUGGUGCACGACAAUCCUACAUCGAAGUGUAUUUGCCGAUUGUCGUCGGGGGUUGGAGAGGUAUGUUUGUAACAAGGUUGCCAGCAGCGUUACUGCGAGUUUCGAUCGUGAGACUAACCUUUAUGCCGACGUGCGAUAAUUAAUAUUCAGAUUAAAUAAGCAAAAUGAUCGAUAAAUUUAUGUUUCACAACGAAAAAGUUUCUAUUGCCGUUAUAUUUUUUGAAAGAGUAAAAAAGAUAUAAUCGAAAGAAAAAGAUUAUUUCUUUGAAAUUUAUCGCGAAAUAUAAGAAGAUGGAAAGAAGAUAUACCAAGUAAAAAUAAUCAAUAGGAAAAAUAAAGUAGAAGCGAGAUUUUGUGAGACGAAACGUUCUACGUUUACUAUUACCGAACUGGUUAAACAGGUUAUCAGUUUAUAGCCACCGUAAAGAGAUUUUAAAUUUCGCGGCACAUGCUCGUACAUUCCGCGUGUCUUUUUCUUCUUAUUUCGAUUGUUUCGUGGAGUUCAUAGCACUAUGUAUAGGAUGCGUUCGAGGUUCAUAAAUCGAAGAUAUUAUGGUUGAAAUAAUGGAGCAAUGCUUUUUUAUGCAUUGAAUCAAAGCAGGCAUCUUUCAAUAAUAAUAUUCAAGGUUAAAAUUCUUUUAUUUUAUAAAUUCAAAUAAAAAUUUUGAAGUUUUAAAUUAAAAUUUUCAAAUGUUAUAUAAUUUUUGAAGGGAAUCGUAUUCACUUACUUGAGCCUUAUCAAUAACUGAAAUCAUUCGUAGUAGAUAUUUUAUUUCCAAUUUAGGAACUGAAAUGCCCAUAUAAUAAAAAAUAUUUGUAUCGUAAUAAUAAUUAUUAUUAAAUUGGGAAACGAGGGUUACGCUAAAAAGUCACUGCUAAGUAUACAAAAUGAAGAAAAAAACUCGCAAAAAGAAAAACAAAAAAACGAACAUAGACUUUCUUUUUUUUUUUUCUGAAUAUUAAUCAUUCUCUAAUUUUCUCUCUGUAUUCUCAUUCAUACAUUCACAUCUGAUCGCGCGGAUUUGAUAUCUCUCAUUCUUUAUCUUCUUUUUUUCUUUGUUUCACAUACAUACGCACAUUCUUUCAAUUUCUUCUUGAACGCUCACGCUCACUAUAAUUCGAGAUUAAAACAACCACGGUAACAAAACAGAAAUUAAUUACAUAAAAUCUUCCAUAUGGAAUUUUUGCACUUCCUCUCUUUCCUUUAAACUUUCUUCUACAAUCUUAUAGUCUCUCUAAUUGAUAAAGGGCUCGUUAAAAGCACAUACAAACGAUCGUCGUUAUCGUUCGAUUUUGAAAGUCACUAUCUAAGCAGUUUUAUGGCACGUAUUCUCGUACAAGCCCUUCCUCUUUUCUUUUUUUUUUUUUUUUUUAUUAUUAUUUUAAUCUUCAUUACGAGAAAAAGAAAAUUUUCCUCUUCGUCAUAUUUUAUUUCUUCCAUUCUUUGUUUUCAGUUAUUGUUUAAUUAAUUUCGCGGAAUUUAUAUUGAAUCGCAACAAUAACGUAUCUAUUUUUGAUAUACACUCACACAUUGAAAUCAGAAGUCUUUUUUACCUUCGAAUACGGUUUAUCAGACUUGGACGUGAAGAAGGUCUGUCUUAGAUCGUAUUUCUUUCACAAUACGUCAACGAUCUCGUUGGUUCCCGACGAUAUUUUUUCCUUAAUAAAUUUUCAAAAAAGAAAAAAAAAAAAAA